rnacentral:rRNA from 1 species
UACGUAGGGUGCAAGCGUUAAUCGGAAUUACUGGGCGUAAAGCGUGCGCAGGCGGCUUUGCAAGACAGAUGUGUAAUCCCCGGGCUUAACCUGGGAAUGGCAUUUGGGACUGCAAGGCUCGAGUGCGGCAGAGGAGACUGGAAUUCCUGGUGUAGCAGUGAAAUGCGUAGAUAUCAGGAGGAACACCGAUGGCGAAGGCAGGUCUCUGGGCUGACACUGACGCUCAUGCACGAAAGCGUGGGGAGCAAACAGG